rnacentral:rRNA from 1 species
GAUGAACGCUGGCGGCGUGCCUAAUACAUGCAAGUCGAGCGAACAGACGAGGAGCUUGCUCCUCUGACGUUAUCGGCGGACGGGUGAGUAACACGUGGAUAACCUACCUAUCAGACUGGGAUAACUUCGGGAAACCGGAGCUAAUACCGGAUAAUAUAUUGAACCGCAUGGUUCAAUAGUGAAAGACGGUUUUGCUGUCACUUAUAGAUUGAUCCGCGCCGCAUUAGCUAGUUGGUAAGGUAACGGCUUACCAAGGCAACGAUGCGUAGCCGACCUGAGAGGAUGAUCGGCAGCAGGGCAGCUAAGACACGGACCAGAACCCUACGGGAGGCAGGAGUAGGAAAUCUACGGGAAGGAGCGAAAGCGUGUCGGAGCAACGCGGCGUGAGUGAUGAAGGUCUUCGGAUCGUAAAACAUUGUUAUUAGGGAAGAAUAAAUGUGUAAGUAACGAUGCGAGUAUGGACGGUCCCGAAUCAGAAAGCCACGGCUACCUCCGU